rnacentral:rRNA from 1 species
CCUACGGGAGGCAGCAGUGAGGAAUAUUGGUCAAUGGACGAGAGUCUGAACCAGCCAAGUAGCGUGAAGGAUGACUGCCCUAUGGGUUGUAAACUUCUUUUAUAUGGGAAUAAAAUGUUCCACGUGUGGGCUUUUGUAUGUACCAUAUGAAUAAGGAUCGGCUAACUCCGUGCCAGCAGCCGCGGUAAUACGGAGGAUCCGAGCGUUAUCCGGAUUUAUUGGGUUUAAAGGGAGCGUAGGUGGAUUGUUAAGUCAGUUGUGAAAGUUUGCGGCUCAACCGUAAAAUUGCAGUUGAAACUGGCAGUCUUGAGUACAGUAGAGGUGGGCGGAAUUCGUGGUGUAGCGGUGAAAUGCUGAGAUAUCACGAAGAACUCCGAUUGCGAAGGCAGCUCACUGGACUGCAACUGACACUGAGGCUCGAAAGUGUGGGUAUCAAACAGGAUUAGAGACCCUGGUAGUC